rnacentral:rRNA from 1 species
GUGGGGAAUCUUGCGCAAUGGGCGAAAGCCUGACGCAGCCAUGCCGCGUGAAUGAUGAAGGUCUUAGGAUUGUAAAAUUCUUUCACCGGGGACGAUAAUGACGGUACCCGGAGAAGAAGCCCCGGCUAACUUCGUGCCAGCAGCCGCGGUAAUACGAAGGGGGCUAGCGUUGCUCGGAAUUACUGGGCGUAAGGGCGCGUAGGCGGACAGUUUAGUCAGAGGUGAAAGCCCAGGGCUCAACCUUGGAAUUGCCUUUGAUACUGGCUGUCUUGAGUACGGGAGAGGUGAGUGGAACUCCGAGUGUAGAGGUGAAAUUCGUAGAUAUUCGGAAGAACACCAGUGGCGAAGGCGACUCACUGGCCCGUUACUGACGCUGAGGCGCGAAAGCGUGGGGAGCAAACAGGAUUAGAUACCCUAGUAGUCC